CUCUCUAGUGACCGAUAGUGAACCAGUACCGUGAGGGAAAGGUGAAAAGCACCCCGGAAGGGGAGUGAAAUAGAACCUGAAACCGUGUGCUUACAAGUAGUCAGAGCCCGUUAAUGGGUGAUGGCGUGCCUUUUGUAGAAUGAACCGGCGAGUUACGAUUUGAUGCAAGGUUAAGCAGUAAAUGUGGAGCCGUAGCGAAAGCGAGUCUGAAUAGGGCGUUUAGUAUUUGGUCGUAGACCCGAAACCAGGUGAUCUACCCUUGGUCAGGUUGAAGUUCAGGUAACACUGAAUGGAGGACCGAACCGACUUACGUUGAAAAGUGAGCGGAUGAACUGAGGGUAGCGGAGAAAUUCCAAUCGAACCUGGAGAUAGCUGGUUCUCUCCGAAAUAGCUUUAGGGCUAGCCUCAAGUGAUGAUUAUUGGAGGUAGAGCACUGUUUGGACGAGGGGCCCCUCUCGGGUUACCGAAUUCAGACAAACUCCGAAUGCCAAUUAAUUUAACUUGGGAGUC
rnacentral:rRNA from 1 species